GACGAACGCUGGCGGCGUGCUUAACACAUGCAAGUCGAACGGAAAGGCCCUGCUUUUGUGGGGUGCUCGAGUGGCGAACGGGUGAGUAACACGUGAGUAACCUGCCCUUGACUUUGGGAUAAUUUCAGGAAACUGGGGCUAAUACCGGAUAGGAGCUCCUGCUGCAUGGUGGGGGUUGGAAAGUUUCGGCGGUUGGGGAUGGACUCGCGGCUUAUCAGCUUGUUGGUGGGGUAGUGGCUUACCAAGGCUUUGACGGGUAGCCGGCCUGAGAGGGUGACCGGCCACAUUGGGACUGAGAUACGGCCCAGACUCCUACGGGAGGCAGCAGUGGGGAAUAUUGCACUAUGGGCGGAAGCCUGAUGCAGCAACGCCGCGUGCGGGAUGACGGCCUUCGGGUUGUAAACCGCUUUCGCCUGUGACGAAGCGUGAGUGACGGUAAUGGGUAAAGAAGCACCGGCUAACUACGUG
rnacentral:rRNA from 1 species